AGAACGAACGCUGGCGGCAUGCCUAACACAUGCAAGUCGAACGUGAUCCAGGCUUCGGCCUGGUGAAAGUGGCAGACGGGUGAGUAACGCGUGGGAACCUGCCCUGUGGUAGGGAAUAACCGUGGGAAACUGCGGCUAAUACCCUAUGAGUCCUUCGGGAGAAAGAUUUAUCGCCAUAGGAGGGGCCCGCGUCGGAUUAGGUAGUUGGUGGGGUAACGGCCUACCAAGCCUUCGAUCCGUAGCUGGUCUGAGAGGAUGAUCAGCCACACUGGGACUGAGAUACGGCCCAGACUCCUACGGGAGGCAGCAGUGGGGAAUAUUGGACAAUGGGGGCAACCCUGAUCCAGCAAUGCCGCGUGGAUGAUGAAGGCCUUCGGGUUGUAAAGUCCUUUCGGCGGGGAAGAUGAUGACGGUACCCGCAGAAGAAGCCCCGGCUAACUCGCGCCAGCAGCCGC
rnacentral:rRNA from 1 species